GUUACAAAGAAUACAAAGAAAGGCAUGUUUCCACCAGGAGACACAGCACUAAUCCCACUGGACUGGAAGUUAAGACAAAGAAUGCAAAGAAAGGCAUGCUUCCACCGGCAGACACAGCACUGAUUCCAUUGAACUGGAAGUUAAGACCAAUGCUCUGCAACUUCGGGCUCCUUCUGCUUCUGAAUCCAUAUGCAAAGAAGAGAGUCCCUGUGCAGCUGGGGUGAUGGAUCCUGGCUUCUAAGAAGAAAUUGGCCUAUACUACUCCACAGUGGAGUCUGUACUACGUUGUAAUCAGAAAACACGUUCAGCUGAGAAGCAAGGAUUGGCAACAGCAUCAUCGGUUUGAGGCUGCAUACACGGACGGAGCUGGUUGGCCUGGUCUGGGCUGGGAGCAGCUGGAGAACAGCUUCCAGUGGUCAGCUGGGCAGCUCCCCCUCGGCUAGAGGAUGACCCAUCUUACGCCUAUGGAGAACACUGCGGAAAUCACAGCAGGGGAGGUUUAAGCCCUCUGGGCCUCCCUCGUCGGGCACAAAGGGCAGAGACCAAGACUGUCCUCAAGUUGUGUAACGGACAGAGCUGGCAUACGAUGGAAGCUGUAAAGACUGAGUUUAGUUUAAUAUACCCAGUCACUUCCAGGGCACAGUUGACGGAGGCGAUGUUGAAUGCACAGCCCGAGUGUGUGGUCGGCCGGCUCCCGCUGCAGCAGGCGACCCUCCGUAUGGACAUCCUGCCUGCGAGGCCAGCAGCUGUCACGAGAACAGAGCGACGAUUGACGAUGCCGAGCUGAACGACAAUGGAGCAAAGCAGCAUUUACUUCAGCACAGCAGGCCUGGUGGCCGGAGCUAGGCCACCCUCUCCUCCCUGGGGACCUCCAGGCUUGAUGGAGCCCCUUCAGUGGACAAGUGGAACCACAGGCCUGAGAAGCUCUGCUGGGGACAGAGGCUAAACAGAGAGAAGGCCCCAGGCUUGGGCCAGUUCUACACAACGGGCAGCUGAGAUGGAGGGACGCCUGCAUCCUGCCGGCUUCCUCCACCCAACGGCCCCUGCUGACAUGUGUCCCCAUCUCCUCACACUGCCCUGGCCGUCCACUGCCCUGCGAGGCCUCUGAGGACAGAAGAGGAAGAGAGCUGCAAGGCUGGCACGGACACAGCCCCAUCCCCUGCGGUUCCUUCAGGGCAGGUCCUGCUCUGUGUUCACCAAUGGUGGCUGCGCAGUCCCACCCUGGGAACCUCAGUAAACGUCACCCACUGAAGACUCAAUGCUCAGGAGGUGGCCAGCCUGCACACAAGACCUCCAGGACCUCCUGCACUGAAUUAAAACUCAGGAUGGGAAAGGCUCCCCAGCCCUGGAGCCCUGACAGGGGUAAGCCCCCGAGACCCCAGUUCUGCCCAGAACUAGCCCUGAACUUGGAUGUGUGCAGGCACUCAAGGCAGGGGUGGACCAGCACAUGCCUGCAGGGGCUUUAGUUUAAAUGUAUAUGAUGCAUAUAUACGAUGAACACACAUGUAUACACACGUGGUGUAUACACAUGCGGCAUCUGCACACGACGUAAAUGCACCUGGCGAGUACACACGUGGCAUAUACAUACAUGCCCUGCAUAUACAACAUGGCACAUACACGCAUGAUAUACACACACAUGAUGAGUUAAAACCAGGCAGGAAAUUGCCUGAGGUGGCCCAGCUGGAGGAGGCCUUUGAAGCCAAGCACAGGACCCUCCAUUAAAGAAGAAUGACACCAAUGGUCACAGCAGUGCUGGUGCACACAGGAGGAGAGCGGGCUCCAUCCCUCACGUCCCCUUGGGUCACAGAAAUGCUGGUGAACAGUGGUGGAGAGGGGGCUCCACCCCUCAUGUCCCCUUUGCUGCUGUUUGCCUUAAUUAUGUGUUUGCAUCCACAAAACUACUUUUGGAUUCUGUGACUCAAAGAAAUGCAAAAUUAAAAAAUAAAUCUGCAAAAGUCCACCUGGUUUUCAAUCAAACCUGUCUUUCCUUCCACCCUCACCCCUCCUAAAAGAGAAAGGAAAGCUGUUGGGUGAAGUGUGGCUCCCAGUCAGGGACAGGGAUCAGCCCAG
rnacentral:lncRNA from 10 species